rnacentral:rRNA from 1 species
UCAAGCUACAAAGAGCCAACGGCGGAUGCCUUGGCAUCGACUACCGAUGAAGGACGUGAGUGGCUGCGAAAAGCCUCGGGGAGCUGCCGACUAAGCUUUGAUCCGAGGAUGUCCGAAUGGGGAAACCCACUACUCCAAAGGAGUAGUACUCCGGUCUGAACACAUAGGACCGGUAGAGGGAACCAGGUGAAUUGAAACAUCUAAGUAACCUGUAGGAAAGGAAAGCAAAUGCGACUCCCUAAGUAGCGGCGAGCGAACGGGGAAAAGCCUAAACCGAAUUGGUGUAAUAGCCUGACGGCGUUGCCAAUUCGGGGUCGUGGGACCAGAUAGACCGAGCGUCAGAUCGGUCACAGAGUUACAAAUCUGCUCGUUAGUCGAAGCUUCUGGAAAGGAGCGCCACAGAGGGUAAUAGCCCUGUAGACGAAAACGUUCAGACUCUGAUCUGUGUUCCCGAGUAUCACCAUUGCCGUGUAAUUUGGUGUGAAUCUGCGAGGCCCACCUCGUAAGGCUAAGUAUAAGUCGAUGACCGAUAGCGAACUAGUACCGUGAGGGAAAGGUGAAAAGUACCCCGGGAGGGGAGUGAAAUAGUACCUGAAACCGUUGGUUUACAAUCAGUCAGAGCGUCGUCUAGAACUUCGGUUCUAGGCCGCGAUGGCGUGCCUUUUGAAGAAUGAGCCUGCGAGUUAUGGUGUGUGGCAAGGUUAACCCGUGAGGGGAAGCCGAAGCGAAAGCGAGUCUGAAUAGGGCGUCUAGUCGCAUGCUAUAGACCCGAAGCCGAGUGAUCUAUCCAUGGGCAGUGUGAAGCGGGGGUAAGACCCCGUGGAGGCGCGAACCGACCUAGGUUGAAAACUGGGCGGAUGACCUGUGGAUAGGGGUGAAAGGCCAAGCAAACUCGGUGAUAGCUGGUUCUCCGCGAAAUGCAUUUAGGUGCAGCGUCGUAUGUUCAGUCAUGGGGGUAGAGCACUGGAUGGGUUAGGGGGCCUACAAGCUUACCAACCCCAACCAAACUCCGAAUACCAUGACUCCAAAGUGCGGCAGUGAGACCCCGGGGGAUGAGCUUCGGGGUCGAAAGGGAAACAGCCCAGACCGCCGACUAAGGCCCCAAAUUCUGGACUAAGUGGUAAACGAAGUGAGAUUGCAAAAACAGCCAGGAGGUUGGCUUAGAAGCAGCCAUCCUUGAAAGAGUGCGUAACAGCUCACUGGUCGAGUGAUCUUGCGCGGACAAUGUAACGGGGCUCAAGUCCAGAGCCGAAGUCGCGGGUUUUCACAUUAGUGAAAGCGGUAGCGGAGCGUCGAUCUCGCUGUGAAGCGCCGGUGGAAACCGUCGUGGAGCGUGGUCGAGUGAGAAUGCAGGUAUGAGUAGCGAGAGAGGGGUGAGAAACCCCUCCGCCGAAAAUCCAAGGGUUCCUGGGGAAGGCUAAUCCUCCCAGGGUGAGUCGGGAGCUAAGACGAGGCCGAGAGGCGUAGUCGAUGCACAACCGGUUGAUAUUCCGGUACCACUGUGAGCGCGACCAGGCUCAACCAUUGUUGCUAAGGGGAUGCUAGGAGCCCGUAAAAAGGCACCUAGAGGAACCGACCCACAAUGGAGCGGCCAGCAAUGCGGGGACGCAGGAAGGUAGAUGAACCCACCCGAUGGUAGAGGUGGGGUAAGUAUGUAGGGUGGGUCCCAGGCAAAUCCGGUACCCAUUAAAACCUGAGAUACGACGCCGACUCGAUUAAGAGGAAGUCAUUGAUCCUAUGCUGCCAAGAAAAGCCGCUAGCGAGCUCUCACGGUGCCCGUACCCCAAACCAACACAGGUGGAUAGGUAGAGAAUACCAAGGCGAUUGGGAGAACUGUGGUUAAGGAACUCGGCAAAUUACAUCCGUAACUUCGGGAGAAGGAUGACCUCAUCAGAGUGAAAGAACUUGCUUCUUGAGCUCGAAGAGGUGUCACAAACCAGAGGAAAGCGACUGUUUACUAAAAACACAGCAGCGUGCGAAGCCGUAAGGCGCUGUAUACGCUGUGACGCCUGCCCGGUGCCGGAAGGUUACGGGGACGGGUUAGCCCUCGGGCGAAGCUCUGAACCUAAGCCCCGGUAAACGGCGGCCGUAACUAUAACGGUCCUAAGGUAGCGAAAUUCCUUGUCGGGUAAGUUCCGACCUGCACGAAUGGCGUAACGACUUUCCUACUGUCUCAACCACAGACCCAGCGAAAUUGAAGUACGAGUAAAG